CGGACGGGUGAGUAAUGUCUGGGAAACUGCCUGAUGGAGGGGGAUAACUACUGGAAACGGUAGCUAAUACCGCAUAACGUCGCGAGACCAAAGAGGGGGACCUUCGGGCCUCUUGCCAUCAGAUGUGCCCAGAUGGGAUUAGCUUGUUGGUGGGGUAACGGCUCACCAAGGCGACGAUCCCUAGCUGGUCUGGGAGGAUGACCAGCCACACUGGAACUGAGACACGGUCCAG
rnacentral:rRNA from 1 species